UAAGUUAAUUCUGAAGCAUCUUCUGCUGGGAGCCAUGAAUGAAUUGUGGGCGUGUCUAAAACAUCUCCAGGAGGUGUAUACCUAGGAGGACUCUCAGUGUAAUCUCACCCAUCUGAGACUGCCCUUUUUGCCUUGUCAAACAUCCUACUCAAAGAGAAUUCUGUGAUCCCUGAGGAAUUUAUUGGUUGAGACAGCCCUAAAUUCAAAUGGAGGUAGAAGGAGAAUCAGUGUACCCAACUAGCCUUGAGGCAUCAGUUGCCUGGAGGGGGAAGAAUUUACUAAGCAAGAGACAAGUUCCCAUUCAGCCAACUUCCCCAUGGCCUCUCACUUCUUGUUUAUCUUGAAGAACCCUUCUUCACAAUAAAUUCCUUUGAUGUGUUUCACUAUAAAUAAAGCAUUCUUGGGCUUUUCCCCUUUGUUAGGGUCAGACUCAUCAGGACUUUUCCACCCAUCAAGCCCCCAGUUUCAAUAUAUUUCUUCUCCUUUGCUUUAUUUCUUAAUACUACUUUUUGGGCCUUUUAUUUCCAGCUAGUCAACACCUCCUGUGGUUACUUAUUCCCUCCCCUUGAAGAUUGCAGGUGAGAAUCUUCUAGUUCCAAAAGGUAAUCUUUUUGCUCAUGAAGAAGGGGCAUGUCUCCUGAGUGAAUAAGCUGGCUAUGCACAGUACUCUCCUUGUAGAGUAAGGCAAAGCAAGGGGAAUAAAUGAGAAACUUUUCAGUGGAGAAAGCCAAAGGAUCAAGGCUCACAUUAUCACCUUUUCUCUGCUGUGACCAAAAACCUGACAAGAACAAUUUUUGACGAGCUAAGUUUAUGUGUGGCUCACGGUUUCAGAAGUCUCAGUCCAUAGAUGGCCAACUUCAUUGCUUUGGGUCUUGGUGAGGCUGAGAAUCAAAGCAGAAGAGUGUGGUGGAGGAAAGCAUCUCACCUCACAGCAGCUGGGAUUCAGAGAGACACCAAAUAAAGGGCUUGGGAUAAAUAGAGACCCCAGGGAUAAACUUCGAGGACUUACUCUCUUUAAUUAGGUUGCAACUCUACAUUUUUCACCAACUCUCAAUAGUUCAUUCAAAUUAUGAAUCUAUCAAUGGAUUAAUCCACUGAAGAGAAUAGAGCCCUCAUGCUACAGCAAUUUCCUAAAAGUGCUGCCUCUGAAACUUCCUGCAUAGGGGACCAAGCCUAUGAGCCUUGGAGGAAUAUUUCAAUUACAAAGGAUAAAAGAUAGCAAGUUGGUGCUGCUUGCCAGACACUAGGAAAUAAUGUCUGGAGAGCAGAAUUUUUCUUUAUAUUCUUUUUAACUUUAUAAAGUAGGCUUCCUUUAGAUAAUUGCCUCUCGUAAAGUUAUAUGUUCAUAUGCUAGCCCCUUUAACCUUUUAUCCAAUUCAUUUAUAAGUUUAAAAUGGUUAGCCUCUGCUUCUUGGGGCAGAGAGAACUCCAGAUUGAAUGAUUUCUUUGAGAUGAAUAUGAGGAGUCCUGCAGGAAUGGCAACUGGCAGAAAUCAAUACAUGUCAAAAGAUCUCUGUGUCCUCAUCCUGGAAAAAGUAAGAGUCUGAUAAUACCUGUGAUGCUGAGGAUGUACAGAAGGGAAAUCCCUGCAGGUUGGCAGGAGUGUAUUUCCAAAACAAAACAAAAUAAAGCAACAACAACAAAAAACCCAAUUUAAUUUCAAUUGGUAAUAUCUUACAAAAUUAAAGAUGCCUAUUACCAUAAUAACCCUACUAUUCAGUGGUUCCACCCUAAUUAUAUAUCUGGAGAAACCUUCACACUACACACAGUGAAGAACACCAUAGUUUACUUCAGUCUUGUUUAUCAUCAUCAAAAUUUAAACAAUCCAAAUGUCCAGAGAUAGUAAUGAAACAGAGCUGCACAUAGCAGCAAUGAACCUUGCAAGCAUAACCUUGAGAUUAUCAGCAGGUGAUGCACAUGAAUACAGAAGAUAUAAGAUAAUUUAUAUACCACUUUAAAUAUACAACUUAUCACCAUAUAUUUUAAGUUUCUUGUGAUGUGAAAACUAAGAAAUAAAUAUGUAAACCAUAAAAUAUAUAGUUGUUAAAAAUUAAAAUAUCUAAAUUAUUGUAUCUAAGAUCCCUCACUCUCUGUUUUGCACCUUUCUGUAUCUCUCUUCUGUGUUCAUCUACCUAUUAUGAAAAAUGAAGUGCUAAUAGUGAUAGAUUUUAGAGAAAUGCAAACUUGAGUUUCAUACUAUCUCAAUAAUGUCAUAAGUGUACAAUGUUGGGCUAAUUACCUGACCUUGGUAGAUCUGAAUUCUUCGCCUGUUUUGUUAACAGUACCGUAAAGUUAAGAGAAGAAAAUGAAUACAAUCCUGCUAAUGUAGUAUCCACCUAAGAAAGGAUACUUCUAUUUUGUAUAUUUUUAUUUCACAAAAUCAAUGUUGAUGUUGUAUUAAAAAUAUAAUUGGGAAAAUUAUAGAGCUUUUACAUUUUGACAAUUAAUUGGGAUAUUAAUUUAAAAAUUAACAGCAUUUUUUACUUUAAAAUAGUUAUUCACUGGAAAAACUUGGAGAUAUAAUGUUUGUAAUUCAAUUUGUUUCUUAAUCUGAGGCUUAUUUACCCUCUUAUUGUUUCUCUGAUGUUCUUGCAAGAACAGUUUUGUAUCUUUCACUUAUAAUUUAAAGUAUAUAGUUUCUCCAUGAUUCACUGUUAAUACUAAUUAAAAAUAAAAGGACAAAUAAAUGAUAAAUCCUACCACAUGUUUUUUUUAAAUGUUUAAAAAUCGGGUUACUUAUUAAACACCAUUAAAUGUAUUUGGUAUCUAUGGAAAUAUUCAAAUGGGUUUCCUUCCCUUAGUAUUUGUAGAAUUGAAUUAUGUUGAGUUUUCCUAAGGUUGAAACAACUUUGUUUUCCUUUAAUGUAAUAACUGUGAUUAUAGUAUACUAUUUUCUAUUCCAUCACUGUACUUGACAUACUUAAUAUCUUAAUAAGUACCUAUACCCUACAUUUACUAAAUGGAAAGUAUGCAUUAUUUUCUUUGUAAACAA